CAAACAACUAAUGAGAAAACAGGACUAUAAGAACUACUGUGCUAUCAACUGCACUCCUCUCCCAAACCAAGAUACCUUAUUUUCAAACCUCGCCUGCAGAGUUGGGUGUGCUGCUGCAGUCAAACAUACUCCAUCCCAGGAGAGUGAUUUUACAAAAGCAUACUCAGCAACCUAUACAACAGCAAUCCUACUACUUACCUGCAUGAAGAGAAUGAGCCAGAGAACAGAAUCCACCAGGCUGGCUGCAAACUGGACCCAUGCUGAACUCUCCAGAUCCUUCAUCUUACCAGGUGGUUCUGCUUGAGCUCCUUGAUGACUCUCCAUGUUAACAUUCUCUUGAUCGCCUGUGAUACAAAACACAACUAUGGGUCUACUUUUGGGCAACAAACUCUUGGAUAGACAAAUCUUAGCCUCACAUAAAACUUAUAUUACCAGUACACUGGGCCAUUAAAACUAUCCACUGUAUUCAAUUCACUUUUACAUUCUUGUCUGAAAGCUACAACAAAUUCACAGAAAACAACACUUACCACUUGAUUUGAAACAGAGUUUCUUCUUUUGGUAUGCAAUGAAGCUAGACACUGCUCCAACUACUGCCACGACCACAGCACUUAUGAUUCCUGGUACUACUCCUUGAGAAGCUGUGAACAUUUUUUUCAUUUUAAAAACAGAACUUCCAUAUUCUCAAAGAGCAUAAAUACUUUGAAUGUUUUCAAGUAUUUCAAACAUGUAAAUAUGACAUUUGAAAAUAAUGGAGCAAUCAAUUGUCCUGUUUUCACAGAUUUUGCAAAACUCAAAUAUAAAUUUGAGAACUGA